AUCGCUUCUCGGCCUUUUGGCUAAGAUCAAGUGUAAAAAGGAAACACUUUGUAAUACUGAUCUGCAGCUUCCUUGUUUUCCUUUCCAGCUAGCAGUUGUACAUCUUUUAAUAUUUUAGAUCAAAUCCAUUUUUAUAGUGCAUGCAUUUUCAGUUGAUCCUUGAACAACUCGGAGCUGAACUGUACAGGUCCAUU